CUUCUUCAUUCCUCGCCAGUUUUAGGGUUCAUAGGACCUAUGCAGAUCGGCGUCACGAUACCGUUUGUCCGUUCUAAUAAGGUCCUUUCGACUUCUUUUCAUCAAUCCAGACGCGUUAUCUUCUUGAUCCAUCACAUUAAAUAAGUUAUUAACACCUUUGGCCACGAUCUACAAUUAAUUAAUGUCCGUUAAUCUGCUUGGAGACGGUGCUUGCACGAUAUAAAUAGUCCGGCAUGUGCUCCUCCACUGUUGAGGCUAGGUUGUUGCGUUUCUGGGAGGCCAAGAAUGUGAAGCGAGGUGGUGAACUCAUGGUGGAUGUGAAUGGGACUAUUAUGCACGCAACCAUCAGUUCUAAGUCUUCCGACGUUCGGGCGUAGUCUCGCCGCCGUAUUAAUGCAACAAGAGACAGUGAACAUCAGUGAAAUCAAACUAAGUAGUCAUUUUGUUGAUUGUUGGAAGGGUAAGUGUUCUUUUAUACAUUUGAGAAUAUGUACUACUGACGGAGACUCUAAGUAGUUUUCUGCAAGAUGCUUUGUGAGAGGAGCUUAGGUUUGAAAGAGAUGAGGGACCAACGUUUGUGAUUUGAUAGAAAAUGAGUGCUUGAUGUGCAAGGCAUUGUAUAAGUUAAAUUAUAAUAAUUUUUAGAAUGAUCA